rnacentral:rRNA from 1 species
GAUGAACGCUGGCGGCGUGCCUAACACAUGCAAGUCGAGCGAAGCACUUUGCUUGGAUUCUUCGGAUGAAGAGGAUUGUGACUGAGCGGCGGACGGGUGAGUAACGCGUGGGUAACCUGCCUCAUACAGGGGGAUAACAACCCGAAAGGGUUGCUAAUACCGCAUAAUGCAGUUGGGUCGCAUGGCUCUGACUGCCAAAGAUUUAUCGCUCUGAGAUGGCCUCGCGUCUGAUUAGCUAGUUGGCGGGGUAACGGCCCACCAAGGCGACGAUCAGUAGCCGGACUGAGAGGUUGACCGGCCACAUUGGGACUGAGACACGGCCCAG